rnacentral:lncRNA from 1 species
UCAAUUCUCCGUGUUAUGUUCACCAAUGUGACCAUGACAUUUUGACAAAAAUAUACCGUUAACCUAAAAAUUCAUUAUACUUGAAAACAUAAUCCUAAAGAUGCCCCCUACAAUAACUCUCGAAGGAUGACAUCCAAGCUAUCGCGGCCUGUGUAGCUUCAUCACAAUGAAGUUGUUCAUCUGAAAAAAGAUCAAAAAAUCAAUAGACACAAAAAUCAAAAAACAAAAAAUAAUCUAACAUAUAAAAACUAUUUACUCUAAAUUAGCGUCGAGAACCUCGUGUGGGGGUAGACAGUGUAUUCUUUCAUGAGCCAUCUAUUGGUAUUGGCAUCAACAGGUAAAGGUUUAUAAAGGUAUGACGACCUAUUUUCAACUUGAAGUCCUCUAUCUAUGAUUUGUUUCACCAGUCCACCUGAGUGAGACCAACUACCACCUCUUCGAUGGUUCAAUUAGUUUUAUUUAGGCUAUACCUCGCUAUUGGGGUAAUAAAAUAGAAAGUGCUAUGAUUUGUUUGAAAACUAAUAGCAGCAAAUAAAAUAUUAAUAUAUAUAAAAGAAAAAUAAAACUUAUAUAUUCCAAAAAACGUUGGUGAGCUUAAAAUUUUAACAAACUAACCGCAUAUUGAAAAUUUACCUAAAUCACGCGUAGAAAAGUAUUACUUGCCAAAGUGGUUGGAGAAUGUUGAUAGAAAUUUCUACGGUUGAUCCAGAUUUCAUUCAUUGGCUCAUUUUUGAGCGUCCUUGCCAGUAAAUCUACCAAAAGAAUUUUAGGACGAACAUAUAGUGCUAGUGGUUGAUUUUGAGGAAUUUGCAAAAUCCUAUCAAAAAAGUCAAGAUCUGGAGGGUUUGCUAGGUUUUCAUGGGGAGAGUUUGGAUCAUCUAUUUCUAAAUAAUCAAUAAUUUGAAAAAUAUCAUUCAUAUCAACAUGUUCCAAACUGUUGUUAUGAGGGUUAAAAUGCUGAAACAACGACAGAGUUGAUGGCUGUAAAGGAAGGUAAAAUGGAUUUGAAAUUAGUAAGUACAGGUUGUUAGAUACUAAUGCCCAAUCAAGAUCAUUGUCCUUUUUUGUUGAACAAGUUCAGAGUUUUUGUAGGAGUUUGGAAUUUAGAUUGCUGACCAUCUCAACCUAUUAGCAAGUUUAAAUCUCAAAUUCCAGUGGAGGUUUCAUCUUGCUAAGCAAAUUUCCAACCCCUUGGUAGCAACAUUAAUAUCAUUUCUGGAGCGAAUGAGAGCUUGUCUCACCGAGUUUCUGUCGAAAACCAUUGAAACCAGUGUGGCAAUGGAGUCCUCAGGUGAAUUGAAUGUGGAUGAUGAUCGAGCGGAACCAGUUCCCUAGAGCCAAAGGAGGAAGAAUUUUUGAAACAACCAAAAAGAGCAAGUUAAGGCCAUAGAAAUAAAGAAAUUAUUGUUCUAGUAGCUAAAACUUUUUUUUUUUCAUUACUAAUAGCUAAAAUUUAACACUACCCUCAACAUACGCAUGGUUAAGAAUAGAAACAGCAAGGUGCACUAAUAGAUAGGAGUGGACAGUAUAAUCAACAAUUGUUCAACUUAGUUUGCUAUUAUUAUACUGCCUAUUACCAUGCAAUCCUCAUUAAAGAACACGUUAUAAAACUAUAUUUGUAACUAUGUAUAUCCAUAAAUGAAUUUGUUGCACAAUAUUUCCUAAUCUGGUUCUAAUAACAUUGGGCAAUACAUACACGAGGGAAACUGCAAGAAAGCACUCCCCUAUACAUUCCAAACCAGCCCCUCAAAAAAAUCCUAGUCUCCUUAUUCCGUGAGCUAGGUCUAUGCACUCUACUUCUCUCGUCACCAAGAAAGGGAAAAAACCAGAGUAUGUGGUGAAUUUUAAACAAAAGUUUACUCUCUCUCGCCCACUGUCUCCCUGGUGUUGAAUAGGCAAGAAGAAGAAAAAUGAGGGGUGAUUUUGACCAAGUUGAAGUCCAUUUGAUUAGUUUAGAAAGAUAAGAAUGGCUUUCCCAGUAAAGAUGUUUUAAGACAUUUUCCACCAAAAAAAGGACUUCUAAACAAAAAAAUAUAAAAUAAUAAUAAAUCUAAUUUUCACCAUGCACAUUGUAAAGUCAUUUUCAAUAAUUCUCCAUAAUAAUACUUGCCUCCACUUGUAGACCUGCAUAUGUUGGAGAAUUUUCCACAACAUUCCUACCCUGUCCCGUUGGUGGUGCACUCCCCACGGAAGGCCAAGAAAGUCAUGAGACAAAUACUGAAAAUAGAAAGAUGCAAAAGUCAUGGAUAGCUUUAAGAAAUAUCACAGAAUUGGAAAAACCAACCUUAGGUAACUUUCAUCUUGGUUGAUUUCUGGUUUAAAAACUUAUUAUUUUGAGGUGGCGUUGAUGUUCAUCUUCAUAUGGCUAGAUUUGAAGAGGCUAUUGCAGAUACUUUAGAUUAAUCAUUUAGUAUUUGUUGUUGACAGCGGUAACCAUUCCAUUGCAGAACCUCUUUCUAACUACGAGGAGCAAUUUGAUUUAUUUGCCAAAGAGAGGCACCUUUCACAAUUUGAGGGUUUUAAUUAGAAUGUUAAGCUUUUACUUGAAUUCCAGUAGCCCCUUCCAAGUGCAAAUGUUUCUCUUUUUCUUGAUGUUCAGAUCUAUGAUAUUUGCUUUGGGAGCAAUUCUCCUUAGUUAGAAGCUUAAGAAGCGUUUCUUAAUGACUAUUUUUCCAUCGGAGGCAAUUUUAAGAAGCACACUUUUCAAGAUUUCUUAAAAGUCAAUUACAUUUUACAAUUGUUACUUCCUCUGAUGAAUAUUUUGAAUGACUCUCAGUAACUCGAUAUUAAUAAUUUUGCUGGUUUGUUCACAUGCUUACAUGUUAGGUUGCGUUGCUUGCCUUACAAUUCCAAGUAUUGCUUUCACCAAGGUGCUUAUGUUUUAGGGUAAAGUUGGAUUCUUUUUCAGCUUACUGAGAACUGAUGAACUUUCUAACUUGCCAUUUGAUAUAUUACGGAGAUGAACUUAGGUUAGAUAAUAGCCACUCAGUGACGUUCGUGGCGGCUGGACGUAUAAUUUCACUACUUGGGACUGCAUCAGAUGCACACUAAAUGUUGGAGGCUUGAAUCUUGUUCUCACUUUUAGUGUAUAUUGUUGCAUUGAUGCUAUUGAAUUCAAUUUUCUAUCUACCUUUUUUGGUCUACUCGUGUGUCUGGCUUUGCUUGUGGGUAACAAGAGUAAUCACCAGUCCAAAGAAGGGGACAAAGUCAUGGUCCUUUAUAUUUUUGGACACCAGCACUAUCUCCUAAGCUUUGUUUGCUGGAGAAGAAUGAUGCCACGUAUAACCUUGUGACUAUUUACCGUCAGAAAUAUAUGAUACAUGCACCAUUGGUCUGGCACCCAAUUACUGGAUUGGAAAGUAUCCGCUCAGUGACGUUCGGCUGCUGGACUGUAAUAAUUCACAGCUUGGGACUGCAUCAGACGCACACUAAAUGUAGGAGGUUUGAAUCUUGUUGGGACUUUUCGUGUAUGCUGUUGCAUUGAUGCCGGUAAUUCAAUUUUCCUUCAACCUUUUUUGGUCUAUCCUUGGUAUAAUAUUGGUCAAUGUGUCGGGCUUUGCUUCUCAGGUACACGAGUCAUCAAUUAGUCAAAAAAAGGGGAUAAAGGCAAAGGCAUGGUCCUUUAUAUUUUUGGACAAAGCUUUGUUUACUGGAGAGGAAAGAUGCUGCGUUUAACCUUGUAACUAUUUAAUGUCAAAAAUAUAUGAUUACUUGCAUAAUUACCUCAUAAUUCUAUCAUACUGACACAUAAACCUUGGUGUUCAACUUGACUUUUUGGUCUACUUGGCAUUGUUCUCAUAUCUUCUUUUUUUUUCUAUAUUUCUUCCAACCUUCAGAAGUUCAUAUGUUUUUGUUCUGGUUUGGGGCAGACCACCGUUCCUGAUAUCUUGGUACUACUUAACAUCAGCCUUUUUUAAGAGUUGCUCUGUUCCUUGGGAACCUGCUGUCUAAGUGGUCUUCAAGGUGGUGGUGAAGCAAUAUCUUUACAUUGUUUUCUGGGUGAAACUGAUUUUUUCCUAGUUGCAUGGAAUGUGAUCUUCAUUCUUAUUCGAAUCCAUUUUCUUAGUGCUGGUUCAUCUGCCGAUAGAAAUCCUCGUGGUCAAAGAUAUGUAUACGUCUUCUCUCCACUUUCCAAGGUAAGCUAGAAAUAGAUUGAAAUUAUGUCAACUGUUAAUUCACCUAAAAAAUGUCGACACACUUGCCUUGGUAACUCUAAGAUUUGUUUUAAGGUGCGAUAACCUUUGAUUGUUCAGUUGGGAGCCAGCAGGAUCAAAGUUGGCUGCAUGUUCUUUGUAUCUAUGCUGACUGCUCUUAUUUGCAAUUCCUCUUCAUUUCUCCUUUCUUCAAGAUAUAGAAUAUAGUUCACUUGGUAUAAAUGAUAUGAUUCUGAAACAUAGUAAUGGAGAUUGCUUUAUCCUCUGAUGAUAUUUGUAAGUCGAUAUUCCAUCCUGGCCAUUUCUGUAUAUGGUUCAAUUCAGUUCUCUCCAUGGCAACAGUUCUGUUUGGUCGAAUCCUUCUUUAAAUAGAUUAUAUAUUCUGAGGGUUACAGAGGAUGUUCCUGUUGCUAGAUUUAAAGAACCUGUAGCAGAUAUCUAUAUGAUUAAUCAGCUUCAUUUGCUGUUGACAGCAAAAACAGUUUCAUUGCAGAAUCUCUCUUUCCAAAGACAGCAAAACUUAUUUGAUUCAUUUGCCAAUGAUCUUUCUUGACACAAUUAAGGGUGUAAUUAGUGUGUUUCGUGCAGUCUUUUAUUUAGUUGGCUCUCAUUUCAGCAGUUGAUUUCCAUUUGAGGACAAGUUUCAGAGUUUAUGGAUGUUCAGAUCCUCUGCUUUGUAGUAUUUGCUUUGGGAGCAACCCCACCCACGUCGAAUCCUAAUAAGAUUUUGUCAUGACAAAUUUACAUUGGACACAGUGGGAGGCUUGCAAAGCAUUUAUUUUUUGGACAACAAAUGCAUACGAGUGAAAUCUUAAUAUCAGGUAGUGACCUCAUUUCCUUAGCAAUCUUCUCGAACCUAGUUAUGACUAUGAAGUGGCUUAAACUACCAUUGGGGUUUUGUUUCUCUAUCUAGAUUAUGAAAUACCACUGCUCUUAUCACUAGAUGGAUUUCAAGAAAGUCAACAAAGGUGGAGAAUUCAGUGAAAAAAGGCUGUCUUUAGGAAUAUAUGUUACAAGGUCCGAAAGGUUUGUGUGGGGAACCCACCCAAUUCAUAGAAAUAGAAGGAUGGCAGCCAUUAACUCCUCAUUCCUUGACACGAAGACCGAGGUAGGGGAAAAAAAUGAAAACUGGUGGUCAAAUAGAGUGAAAUUGGGUAUUUUCCCAGUAAUUAAUUCCGUAACUGCAUUCUCAACAUAGAAGAAAAUAAUUCUUGGCUUGCUUAUGAAGAAAUUGGCAUUAACAAGACAACUUGCUGUCCCAAAAAAACAAGCAAAAGCUACCAAGAUGCAGGACAGAGAACUAUGUAUUUGAUUUUAUGAGAUAAUAAUGACUUUUGUUUCCACUUUAUAUCUUCUUAGAGACAAAAUGCUUUGUUAAUCCAUGCAUAAGAAUAUAUCUGCACAAUAAUUUAUUUGGACAUACAGUAGCCGUAGCAGGAAAUUUUGUCCACAAAAUCCAGUGCAACUGCCCCCACUUGGCCUCAAGGGCAGCUCUGCCCCAGGUUGUGAAACAGGCUCUGGAGAUGUGUAAGAAAAGUGAUAUCUGUUACUUCCACACUUGAAGAUGCUUCAUAACUUUCCAGAAACUCCAGUUUGGUGGCUGUCCAAACAUGCUUACAUGUGUGUGUUAAAUAUUGCUUGUGGAAAAGCUUUACAAUUUAGAGUACUGCUGUCACCAAGGUGUUUAUGUUUGCAGCUAAUGUGGACUCUUUUGCAGCCUACUGAUAACUGAUAAACUUUCUGUUGGCUAUGAAUUAUUCAUGCCAACAUUGUGAGAUAUGGUAGCACCUGGAGUCCCAAUCUAAGCUGUUUUGAUUCAUAUCUAGUGGCUGCAUCAGAUGAUACUGACUGUAGGAGGCUUGAAUCUUAUUGGUGCUAGUGGUAUUUUUUAUUGCAUUAGCCCUACUGAAAUAAUAUUUUCUUGUGUUGUAUCUGAGUACACACAGCAUGUUUAGUUACAUUAAUUGCUCAGCUUAUACUAACUAUAACCAGCACCAUCCAAGCAUGGGAUCAGGGACACUAGUACAUGACUGACCUCAUCAACUUUAUCUUAAGCAAAGGUUUAAUUACUCACCAUAGAGAAAAAGGGACAAAGUUAUUGUCCUGGGUGUUCACCUUGGGUACCAGCAUCAAGUCCUAAGCUUUCUUUACUGAAGAAGAAAGAGGCAUUUGACCCUGGGACCAUGUAAGCUGUUUACUACAUAAUAAGCAAUUGUGAGGAUACAUGCUCAUUAUUGCUCUGACAUACGAGCUCCAAGCAUCUCUGAGAACUGUUCAAACCAACUGAAAGAAACUAAAGUGCCUCUGUAAAGCACUAUCCGAAGCACAUUCAAAUCAAUAAUUGUAUUACAUUGAUGACGACUGGCAAAUACGAGGUUACUAAAGGUGUUUGGUACGCUGUUUUGUUUGCAUCAAAGUCUCUGUUAAAUUUAGUUCAUAAUCUGUCUAACUUAAGCAGUGAACUCGAUGCUAAAGUGCCUCAUGCCUCACUCCAACAGCUGCAUUUUUCUGCUCUUUUCUCGUGAAAUUUGAUAUUCGUUGGUAGAAGUAUGAAAUAUCAGGUAUGAUGGGAUAUCUUGCAGUGAGAUUAAAGUUUAGAUAUCUAUUGCAUGGAUUGAAGAUUGCACUUCCGAUAAUAAUACUUUAGUAGUUCCUUGCCCUUUUGCAUUUUGAUCAAAAUUAUGCUGAAGUUUUAUAGCGAGGAUGAAAUGCUGAAACAUAAGCAAUUUAUUUAUGACAUGUUAAAGCCAUUGGUUACUGAUAUAUAUGAUAUUAUGAUAAAACUGGAUCAAGACGUGGUCAAUAGCGUCCGGGUGGUGGUAUGGUUACAGUUAACGUUUCAUUCUACAGAGCGUUGUUCUUUGAGGUAAGUGGUUAUCGAUCUUCCUUUUCUUUAGGUUCCAUAUCUAACCCCUUUUCUUCUGUUUUUAGUUUUCCAGAAUGUAUUAUUUUUUCCCCAUUACUAUUUUGUGUUCAUUGGGAAAUGGUACCGUCUAGUUAUGAUUAUUUAAUAGACCUAUAACUGUGGUUUAAUUGUUUUCAAUUUGCAAUUUGGGUUCUUAACUUGUUGGUAAAUUUGUCUAAUUGUGUUUUGCGAGAAGCCUAAGAUUGGAUUGGAGUUGAGGGAGGACUGUGCUGGUCGUCUGAGGUGACCUCAUACAUGACGAUAAUAAAAAUGUCUCUUGGCUGGAGGUUGAUGAAACUCUUAUUCUUGGGUAUGUUACUUGAUUCAAUUGAGAUUCAAAUGUGGUCUUUUAUGGAAAAUAAGUUGUCCCAGUUCUUUUAUGUUAUAUUUAGUUCCUCUACCAUCGUGAUAUGUUUUAGUUUAACACAGUUUCCAAAGAAAUUUAUUUUGUAAGGCACUUGAUAGAAAUGCCUUAGGUGUUGAAGUGGAUUUCUUAUCUUUAUCAUCAGGUCGAAAGUGUGGAAUAUGUAUAUACUUUCAAGAUAAUGUUGGGUGCAAUAGGGUUGAUUGCCAACUAGUUUUAGUAGUUGAGAUAUCAACAAAGAAAGAAAAUGUAGAGAAAGGAAAGAUUUAACAUAGUUUAUGGAUAGUGGCUGUAAUUCAAUGGUUUGGUGUUAGGAUGCAUGUUGCAUUGUUGCUUCAUUCUGAGUCGGUUUUGGUCUAGGUAGUAGACUCUUUUAACUCCGCCUGUGUUGCAUGUUCGCUUGACACAGCCGGUCCCAAGCCCAAUAAAAGAGGAGGGAUGAGCUGACAUAUGGUGCAGUUGCCAUAUGGAUAAAGAUCUCGUGUGGAGUAUUUUUAAUGUUCUCACGUCUCGAUUUAGUCAUUUCGAGUAUGUGAUUGAUUCUACAAUUAAUAGUUUUCUUAUACUCAUCGCCGUUUUUGAUUGCACAUAUUUUCUCAAUGAUCGGAUUGGUUAUAUGGUUAUAUCGUUUGGAUUCAUGGAAAGAUUGAUCAUUUAUUCAAAAGUUGUAUGAUAACUUGGAU